UGGCACAGUGGUUAAAGCGUUCAGCUGUUAACUGAAAGGCUGGCGGUUCAAACCCACC
rnacentral:tRNA from 1 species